GACGAACCGUGCGAACGUUGUUCGGAAUCACUGGGCUUAAAGGGCGCGUAGGCGGGCUGCCAAGUCUGGGGUGAAAUCCUCCGGCUCAACCGGAGAACGGCCUCGGAUACUGGCGGUCUCGAGGGAGGUAGGGGCGUGCGGAACUAAGGGUGGAGCGGUGAAAUGCGUAGAUAUCGGGAGGAACACCAGUGGCGAAGGCGACUACCUGGCCUGUUCUUGACGCUGAGGCGCGAAAGCUAGGGGAGCAAACGGGG
rnacentral:rRNA from 1 species